rnacentral:lncRNA from 1 species
CGAGCAACCUGGCUUUCCUCGACGUAGCCAGUCGUAGUAACUUCGCUUCUUGAUGCAUAUAACGCAUGCAUAUAGUCUCAUUCAACUGUGUCCAAUUCGAAAUGAUCUCAAUUAUUCGAAAUGAUCUCAAUUAAUCCCUCUUCUACAUCCUUUUCUUUGUAUUGGACAAUGUUCUUUUUUCUUUCUUUUUUAAGAAAAUCCUUGUUUUCCACAUCGUUCUUUCCUCUCCAUUUCAAUCUUCUUGCCAUUCAUUCUUUUUUUUAAUCUCUUCCGUCUAUACUACCUUCUAAACUCCAGGUCAAUACGUCAAUAGGAGAGAGACCAUGACAAAAGAAAACAUGCAAGAAGGGGCAUGCAGCCAUUAAAUCAUGGGCUUAUAGAGAGAGAGAGAGUACUCAUAUUUAUAAAGACACCUACCCACCAUAUAGCAAAUCCAUUACUCGAUGUGGAAGCAUCCUCCACAUCUUCCAAUUCAAAAGCUCCCUUUUGAUUCCCCAAAAUGCAUCACUAUUGUUAAUGAUACCAAAUUUUGAUCUCAUCUACUCUAUUCGCUGCAAAGAAAAUUGUUAGUACCUCAUUUACAGAGAAAUGAAGCAUAUUCAUUUACAAAGAAGUGGGGGCAUAUGGGAAGGAGAAUGACAACAAAAGGAGGAAGUCAGAUGAAAAGUGAGAGGCAAUUUUUAAAAAGUAAAAAGAUGGUAUAUGUUGCGUGUGGAAGCUUUAAAUCCAACAGGUUGAUUUUUGGUACAAAAAGUAUCAGAAAGUUAAAUUUGGCAACAACCAAGCAAACAACGAAAAUAUAAAGUAAAAAAAAAAGAAAAAAAAAUACAAUUUACUUGGUUCAUCGGAGAUGUAAUCAUAUCUACGGGCGAAAAACAGAUCAAAAUUUUUCCACUAAUCAAUGAGAAAAAAAAUUAUACCGGAAAAAACUCACGAAAAAACCCUACAAUGUUUUCUCUCUAGAAAAUAACCCAAAGCUUUCUUCUUCUUCUUUUUUCACACUUCUUUCUCUACAGCAGCUAACUUUAAAUAAAUAAAAAACCCUAAAAACAGAUACUUUUUCUAACUUUUUGGACUUUUAAUUUUUAUCUUUAUCUAUAGACCCGUCUAUCUUAACC